rnacentral:tRNA from 1 species
UGCAGGGUAAGUUAUAUUUAAACUAUUGGGCUCAUAAUCCAAAUAAGGAGGAUUACCCCUCCUCCUGUGU